rnacentral:misc_RNA from 1 species
GAUGAAGAACGUAGCGAAAUGCGAUAAGUAAUGUGAAUUGCAGAAUUCAGUGAAUCAUCGAAUCUUUGAACGCACAUUGCGCCCUCUGGUAUUCCGGGGGGCAUGCCUGUUCGAGCGUCAUUACAACCCUCAAGCUUUGUUUGGUAUUGGACAUUGCCAGUUUCUGGCAGGUCUUAAAAUCAGUGGCGGUGCCAUUUGGCUUCAAGCGUAGUAAUUCUUCUCGCUUUGGAGAUCCAGGUGGUUACUUGCCAAUAACCCCCAAUUUUUUCAGGUUGACCUCGGAUCAGGUAGGGAUACCCGCUGAACUUAAGCAUAUCAAUAAGCGGAGGA